GCAAAACGCGAAGAACCUUACCAACCCUUGACAUGGAGGGGACCGUUCCAGAGAUGGUUCUUUCACUUCGGUGACCCCUCACACAGGUGCUGCAUGGCUGUCGUCAGCUCGUGUCGUGAGAUGUUCGGUUAAGUCCGGCAACGAGCGCAACCCACACUUUCAGUUGCCAGCAUUCAGUUGGGCACUCUGAAGGAACUGCCGGUGAUAAGCCGGAGGAAGGUGUGGAUGACGUCAAGUCCUCAUGGCCCUUACGGGUUGGGCUACACACGUGCUACAAUGGCAGUGACAAUGGGCUAAUCCCAAAAAGCUGUCUCAGUUCGGAUUGGGGUCUGCAACUCGACCCCAUGAAGUCGGAAUCGCUAGUAAUCGCGUAACAGCAUGACGCGGUGAAUACGUUCCCGGGUCUUGUACACACCG
rnacentral:rRNA from 1 species